UACGGAGGGGGCUAGCGUUGUUCGGAAUUACUGGGCGUAAAGCGCACGUAGGCGGCUUUGCAAGUUAGAGGUGAAAGCCUGGAGCUUAACUCCAGAACUGCCUUUAAAACUGCAUCGCUAGAAUCGUGGAGAGGUGAGUGGAAUUCCGAGUGUAGAGGUGAAAUUCGUAGAUAUUCGGAAGAACACCAGUGGCGAAGGCGACUCACUGGACACGUAUUGACGCUGAGGUGCGAAAGCGUGGGGAGCAAACAGG
rnacentral:rRNA from 1 species